rnacentral:rRNA from 1 species
GGGGAAUAUUGGACAAUGGGGGAAACCCUGAUCCAGCAAUGCCGCGUGAGUGAAGAAGGCCUUAGGGUUGUAAAGCUCUUUUACCCGUGAAGAUAAUGACGGUAGCGGGGGAAUAAGCCCUGGCUAACUCUGUGCCAGCAGCCGCGGUAAUACAGAGAGGGCAAGCGUUGUCCGGAAUGACUGGGCGUAAAGAGCGCGUAGGCGGUGUUUUAAGUUGGAUGUGAAAUCCCUGGGCUUAACCUAGGAACUGCAUUUGAUACUGGAACGCUAGAGGAUGAGAGAGGAAAGUGGAAUGACGAGUGUAGAGGUGAAAUUCGUAGAUAUUCGUCGGAACACCAGAGGCGAAGGCGGCUUUCUGGCUCAUACCUGACGCUGAGGCGCGAAAGCGUGGGGAGCAAAC